rnacentral:lncRNA from 1 species
UCAAUUAUUCCUUGAAAUUAAAUAUUCGCUUGUCGUUCAAGAAAUUGCACACAUUAACAGAUAAAAAUCCUAUAAUAUCCACAAAUAUUUUGAUAAAUUUGCUUUGUUCGCUCCGAAUUGGAAUUAAAGUAAUACUCACAGUGUUAUAAUUAUAGACUUCUAGGGUCGUAGUUUUCGCGUCGACAAAUACGAGCUGAGCGCGGGUUCAGAGGAGGCAUAACUUUCAUUUUCUUUGGACAUAUAUCAGUACUUCGUAGUUUCUAUUCAAUUCCUUUAUCACUCUCCCGAGUUAGGUCUCCGAUGAGUGAAAUUCCAGCGCGCAGCCAUUUGGAGUUGCAAAGGAGUCCGGUCUCGACGGAUGAACUCGAUUUCGACGAGAAAAUUAUGCACUACGCCGAGCAGCAAAUCGAGUUUCCCGACCACGAUCAGCUUACAUACGAGACUGUAAGCUCUUGCAUCAAUGGAAGCAGCCUCUCAUUGGUGGGCAUGCAUCCUUGGUUUAACCUUUGGGUAUGCUAAUCUGUACUCACAAUGGCUGGAACAUUCAACCGCCA